rnacentral:tRNA from 1 species
GUCAGGAUGGCCGAGCGGUCUAAGGCGCCAGACUCAAGAGUGCUCCUCUUCCACCUCAGUGGGACUUCUGGUCUCUGUAAAGAGGCGUGGGUUCAAAUCCCACUCCUGACA